GGGUCAUAGGAGAAUCCUCAAGGUGCUAGACACCUCCGCUCACACGACUCGGGUGCUGCUCACACGACUCAGGACUGGUGGGUUUUAGAGCUACUGCCCCAUCUUCGUAACCAGCAACCUGCCGCGCCAUUUUCCUGCUCUAGCACGGGCAAUGGGGAGAAGACUCCCCAGGAAGGGACCUGCGCCUGAUCACCGCCAGCCAAGCCGGCAGGAGCUUCAGUUUGCUGCAAAAUGACCAGAUUUCUCCUCUCACACCAUCAGGCUGACUCCUCAAAAGGCAAAGGCAGGGAGAUGAAGAGCAACACUCAGCAAAAGCGAUUUAAGGAAAAGUCUUGCUUAGAAGCCGCUGUCUGAUCCGCUGGUGAAUUUUGACUAUGGAGGCCGGAGAGAUGGCUUGCCAGUUAAGAGUGCUUGCUGGUCUCACAGAGGUCCAGAGUUCGGUUCCAGUGUUCACUGUGACCCCAGCUCCAGGGGUCACAUCCUCUCCUGGCCUCCUUACAC